CUAAGCACCAGUAUUUGUCAACGUGGUGUGGAGAGCGAGUUUAAGUGGUUUGCCAUUGCCUUCUUCUGGGCAGUGUCUUUACAAGAUGGAUGUUAUCAAUACUCUUCAGAGAUUGUCUGCCUGGUGUCAGUGGUUGCAUAACCAGGACUAAAGAUAUGCUCAAGUACACCAAAACACAGCGUCAUUUGCGUUAACAACCAGUUCACUCGAAGGUCAACCUUAAGGCUUCAUACUUCAAUAUCGACGCAGCCUCAAACUCCAGACGUGCCGAUGAC